AUGAUAUUGAAAAAAUCUGAUUUAUCCAUUAAAUAUUUCGAUCUAUUAAACGAACAAAUUUAAACACGAUUAAUUGUGAAAAGUAAUAUACUUUAAUUGUUCUACGAAAUGUUUCUAUCAUCUACGAACAUUAUAAGAUUUUCCAUCGAUCGUAAAAUUUACGAGAUUCACAUGAGUUAUCAUCUCGUCGAUCAUAUCGAUCGAAGAUGAACGAAAGCGAGGAAGCACGACGGAAAGUGGAGGGCUUGUGAGUUGGAACAAUAGGAUACCGUACGUUCGUUGCACUCCGCAAAAAACGGGAAAGAAGUCACGAUCGGCCUCGACGACCGUGCAAGUUUGAAAUGCCUCGGGAGAAGCGUCCAUCCGCUCUCGUUCGA